GAUGAAGAACGUAGCGAAAUGCGAUAAGUAAUGUGAAUUGCAGAAUUCAGUGAAUCAUCGAAUCUUUGAACGCACAUUGCGCCCGUCAGUAUUCUGGCGGGCAUGCCUGUUCGAGCGUCAUUACGCCCCUCAAGUCCCCUGUGGACUUGGUGUUGGGGAUCGGCGAGGCUGGUUUUCCAGCACAGCCGUCCCUUAAAUUAAUUGGCGGUCUCGCCGUGGCCCUUCUCUGCGCAGUAGUAAAACACUCGCAACAGGAGCCCGGCGCGGUCCACUGCCGUAAAACCCCCCAACUUUUUAUAGUUGACCUCGAAUCAGGUAGGACUACCCGCUGAACUUAAGCAUAUCAAUAAGCGGAGGA
rnacentral:misc_RNA from 1 species